AUUGAACGCUGGCGGCAUGCUUUACACAUGCAAGUCGAACGGUAACAGGCCGCAAGGUGCUGGCGAGUGGCGGACGGGUGGGUAAUGCAUCGGAACGUGCCCAGUCGUGGGGGUUAGCUACUCGUCAGAGUAGCUAAUACCGCAUACGAUCUAUGGAUGAACGCGGGGGACCGUAAGGCCUCGCGCGAUUGGAGCGGCCGAUGUCAGAUUAGGUAGUUGGUGGGGUAAGGGCUCACCAAGCCAACGAUCUGUAGCUGGUCUGAGAGGACAACCGGCCACACUGGAACUGAGACACGGCCCAGACUCCUACGGGAGGCAGCAGUGGCGAAUGUUGGACAAUGGGCGCAAGCCUGAUCCAGCAAUGCCGCGUGCAGGAAGAAGGCCUUCGGGUUGUAAACUGCUUUUGUACGGAACGAAACGGCUCUGGUUAAGACCCGGGGCUAAUGACGGUACCGUAAGAAUAAGCACCGGCUAACUACGUG
rnacentral:rRNA from 1 species